UUGGCCAUGUAGAGCAUAAACCGCUUUGCGAAACCUUCCAGAACCAACUGCAGGCUGCCCACGUGGCAGAGUUCAUUCUCGACAUGUCUACGGGCGAGUUAAUCUCUUCCGAGGACGUUUUUCCUUUUUCCAAGAUGGCGGCUUUUAGUUGGGAUUGAAGUCGUUAAAGGGAAUAGUAACUAAUAAGCCGCAAAAAGAUAAUAAGAGGCGAAGAAUUUCAAGUCUUACGAAUGAUGCGUCGAAACUUUCAAGGGAUGAAACUACGAGAAAAAAAAAACAGAAAGAAAAAACAUUGAAUAUUUGACGGAUUCAUUACUGGCUCGAAGUGAUAUCCAGGAGACGAAGAUCUUCGAGACAUUGACGAGCGAUUGUCUCUCUCUACCCUGAUAAACAUGCUCAUGUCAAUUUGCAUACUCAAUCAUUGGUUAUUUUGAUGCCACAAUUAAUUGCAGUAAAGUUACGUUAUCUGUAUAAUAUCACAUUCAGCAUGUAAGUUAAGUUAAAGAAAACUAUAACGUAAUAUUACAUCCAAUUCGAGUGAAAAUGCACUAAUACGGUAAAUAUCCAAUGUUACGUAUAUUUAUACAUUUUAUGAUUUGUAAUUUUUCCAUUUUACGUUUCCCUAUGUAAACCUUCAGUUAUGAGGUAUGUAAAAAUGUA